rnacentral:rRNA from 1 species
AACGUAGGACGCAAGCGUUAUCCGGAGUUACUGGGCGUAAAGCGCGGGCAGGCGGCUCGAUGCGUCUGAUGUGAAAUCUCCUCGCUCAACGGGGAGAGGCCAUUGGAAACGGUCGGGCUGGAGGGCAGUAGAGGCAGGCGGAAUUCCGGGUGGAGUGGUGAAAUGCGUAGAGAUCCGGGAGGAACACCAGGAGGCGAAGGCGGCCUGCUGGGCUGCACCCUG